rnacentral:misc_RNA from 1 species
GAUGAAGAACGUAGCGAAAUGCGAUAAGUAAUGUGAAUUGCAGAAUUCAGUGAAUCAUCGAAUCUUUGAACGCACAUUGCGCCCCUUGGUAUUCCGAGGGGCAUGCCUAUUCGAGCGUCAUUAUCACCCCUCAAGCUCCGGCUUGGUGUUGAGGCCUGCUGUAAAGGCACCCUAUAAAAUCAGUGGCAGUGCUGUCAGGCUCUAAGCGUAGUAAUUCUCUCGCUACAGGGUCCCGGUGGACACUCGCCAGAACCCCCCCAUUUUUUAAUGAUUGACCUCGGAUUAGGUAGGGAUACCCGCUGAACUUAAGCAUAUCAAUAAGCGGAGGA